UACGUAGGGUGCUAGCGUUGUCCGGAAUCAUUGGGCGUAAAGAGCGUGUAGGCGGCCCGGUAAGUCCGCUGUAAAAGUCAAAGGCUCAACCUUUGAAUGUCAGUGGAUACUGCCGGGCUAGAGUCCGGAAGAGGCGAGUGGAACUCCUGGUGUAGCGGUGGAAUGCGCAGAUAUCAGGAAGAACACCAACGGCGAAGGCAGCUCGCUGGGACGGUGCUGACGCUGAGACGCGAAAGCGUGGGGAGCGAACAGG
rnacentral:rRNA from 1 species